rnacentral:ncRNA from 1 species
UGAUAGAGGCGCGGAUGUUAAGAGUAGCCCCCUUGAAAGACGGCAGGAACCGUUGGGGCGAAAGGAGCAGCCGCCGAAGAGUAUCGGACUUCCUGAUCCGGUAUAUCUGGGUCGUCGGAGAAUAUCCGGCGGACUGUCGCGUAAGCGGAGAGCUGUCA